rnacentral:misc_RNA from 1 species
AGGCUAUUUUGGUGAUGGGGAGCCUAGUUCAAUGUGUAGCCUACCAGUUUGAUAUUUACACUCUUCGAUUUAUAAUUCUCAAUAGAAAGGAAAAAGGGAUAGAUACCUAAAUUAAAUCUAGUGCUUUAAAGAUGAUAAUCACAAAGUUUAAUGAUAUCAAAGAGAGAAUGAGAUGUUAUUUUGAUUAGCUGUUCAAUGUGAGUCAUGAGGAUGACUUUUCAAACCUUAAUGUUCA